rnacentral:tRNA from 2 species
GUGUUAGUAGGUUAAAUCUUACAGACUGUUAGACUCAUGCUCUAAAGGUGUCUUUCUUGACAUU